UCGACCUGAGCUCAAGCAAGACCACCCGCUGAACUUAAGCAUAUCAAUAAGCGGAGGAAAAGAAACUAACAAGGAUUCCCU
rnacentral:rRNA from 1 species